rnacentral:tRNA from 1 species
AGGAAUAUAACUCAGCGGUAGAGUGUCAGUUUAACGUUGUGGAAGUCAUCAGCUCGAGCCUAAUUAUUUCUA